UGGGUGUUAAGCGAUUCCAAAGCACUGCAUCUCAUUACUUACUCAGCUGCACCGCUAUCCUUAUCUAGACCUAACUGAGGAAACUCUUGACAAAACUGAAGCCAUGCCCAGCAUUCCGUUAGUGACCGAGCUCGGGGCGAGGGCGGGUGAGUUUCAGCACAUCUUGAACAUGUCCAAAAUUCCAGCCCAAGUGGAGCAAAAGCUCCGUCCUGCGAUGGAUCCUGGUGAGCUCUUCACUUAUCAGGAUUCGCGCAUUUUUGUGCGCGCUCGCCCGAUCGUCGCACAUGAUAUGGAAGAUCCAAACAAUCAGAGCAUUGUUCAGAAAGUCGAUGAAAACAGAGAUCUCGUCGUGAUGACGCCAAAAAUAUCACUUUCUGGCGAGUGUACGAUUGAUCCGUGCGUUGUCACUCUUGACGGCGUGUUCGUGGGAGCCCGUGACGAUACAGAGCGAGUUUACCUAGAGUCAUGCGCCCCAUUGGUCUCUCUCUCCGUUAACGGCGCAUCUACGUGCGUGCUCUGUUACGGGCAGACAGGAAGCGGAAAAACCUAUACAACCUCUGGUAUUUUUCGCCUUGUCGCCCUGGAUCUCGCGCCUGCUUUCGCCACUCAUGAUAUCCUUCUCACUGUUCUUGAAAUACAAGCACUCAAGAACAUCGACCUGCUCACUGGCACGGAUGUUCAGGUUGUGGAGGAUGUCUCAGGUGAGCUUAAGCUCCUGGGGACAGAGGCCUUUGAGUGCUCGAGUGCCGAAAUGCUUCUCGCCGCUUUUGAGGAAGCUGCCUCACAGCGAACAACGCGGUCAACAGAGAGGAACGAAACGUCUUCGCGUUCUCACAUGAUCGCUCGAAUCUCCAUUGUUUCGAAGGAGACGAAGUGGGCGAAGCCUGGCGAUUUAUUCAUCGUGGAUCUUGCUGGUAGUGAAAACACCGCCGACAGCGCAACUCAUGACAAAACUCGCCAAGCAGAGACCAAAUUCAUCAACACCUCCCUCAUGACUCUUAAGGAUUGCAUUCGGUCCCGCGCUCUUGCGUCUUCGAGUACGCAGCACCUGCACAUCCCGUAUAGGCGCUCGCCACUUACGCUUCUUUUGCGCGACUGCUUUGAGAUCGCCGUGCGUCGCCCAACGAAGACAGUUAUGAUCGCCUGUGUCUCGCCACUGCUUCGAGAUUCACGGCAUACUAUUAACACACUGCGGUACGCAUCGAUGCUUGCUGUGACGCCACCAUCCAAAGUCCUCGCACCCGAUCCGAACGACCCAAACAACUACACGCGCGAGCAGGCCCUCGACUUUCUUGUAAAAGUGUCGCAUGGAAACAUCACUGAGCCGGAGUACAUUUUACCGGAGGGUGACGGGCGGACUCUCGUGCACAUUCCAGAGGCGGAAUUCAUCCGUCGCAUCGUGGAGAGCCAUCCGCACAUACCCGAGAAAAAGGCAAAACUUAUUUAUACUGCCGUGUGGAAGCGUGUUGUCGACGCGCGCACCAAAGGUCGAAAGCAGAUGGUCGACGCAAAGCGGCAUAUUAAAGCACCACGCUGCGCUAUGUAGCACAUUUUGGCUGCUCAUCUCUCACGUUUCGCGAUUCUGGUAUGGACACGUGUCUCGUACAAUCUUUUUCCCCUUUUCAAUUUGUAUGCGGAAGAUGCUUAGAUGAUUAUAAAGUACUAGAGCGCGUUUUCUACUGGCUGUCUUCCUCUCUUUUUCUUUUGGCGUCUUAGCGUGCCAGAACCGGUGCAAGAGGGCGUAUUUUUUUGUCUGUCAUUGUCUGUCCAGUUUUUAACUGUAGAGGAGCUAGCUCAUAUUUUUCUGUGUUUUUUGUUGACGCUUUGUUUGAUUCCAUACAUUCAGGUGAUGCUCUUUCAUUCCCUUCGUUUUCACAGUUUCACUGCCAAGAAUCAAAGAGCAAUUGAACUCUUCUCACUUCUCUUCUGCUUUGAAAAAAUGCUCUUGGGUAUGAGAAAGGCCCUCGCUCACUAGGUUUUGUGCCUCUACCGCAGAGCGGUCGUUUCGCCUUUCCGGUUUCAUGUAUGCUCCCACUGCCAUUUCUUGUUACCUGCCAUGCUUCUGAAAAAAAAAAUGAUCGUAAGACAACACCCUCAUGUGUUCACUCGCAGGUCGGAACAAAAGGGGGAAAUAGCGCCUGGACUUACUCAGCUUUGGUGUGCUGUGAUGGAAUAACUUGUCUAUGGGAGAUUUUACUGUGCCUGUGUUCCCUCCUUUCCUGCGCAUUCAUGCUUGCUUGCAUCCAAGCCUUCUCACACUUUCUCGGCGAACGUGACCCUUUCAUCUUGCACGAUUAUUUCAG
rnacentral:misc_RNA from 1 species